rnacentral:rRNA from 1 species
UAUAAAUUUUAUUAUUUUAUUGAUUUUUGGAAGAAGCCUUAAUUUUAGUAAUUUUGUUGAACAAAAGUUUUGUUAUUAUAGUUAAUUAGUAGAGUGAUUGAAUUUUGAAAUAUAUUUUUAUAUUUGUUAAAGAAUAAUUUAUUUUUUGUACCUUGUGUAUCAGGGUUGAUUAAUUAAUAUUUUUGUAUAGAAAUUUCCCGAAUUGAGGAGAGCUAAGUAUUUAUGUUUGUUAUUGUAAAAUAAAUUUAUUUAAUUAGUACUUAGAAGCGAAACGUUAUUCGUUCCUUGUGAUAUCUGGUUUUUUAAGAAAAGAAUUUAAUUCUUUUACUUUCUAUUAUUUCUUCAUUUUUUUGGAGGUUUGUAUGAAAGUAGAAAAUAUUAAGGGGGAUUAGCUUCUUAUUAUAGUUCUAAAAAUUACUUUUUUUGGUUAGUAAGUAUGAUUAUAAUUGUCAAUCUUUAGAAUAAUUUUAUAUUUAACUUUCUUUUUGUAAAUUAUUUUUAUUUGUUUUAGAUUUUAUAUUAAAAAGUUUUCUUUAAUUGAUUUUGUUAAUUUAUUAUGAUUAAAUUAGUAAAAGUUUAUUUUUUUUAUUAGAUUAUUUUUAGGUCUAAUAAAGGAAUUCGGCAAAAUAGUUUUCCGCCUGUUUAUUAAAAACAUGUCCUUUUGAAUAUUAUUUAAGGUCUAAUCUGCUCAAUGAAGAUUUAAAUUGCCGCGGUAUCUUGACCGUGCGAAGGUAGCAUAAUAAUUAGUUUUUUUAUUGAAAGCUGGAAUGAAUGAUUGGACGAGAAAACGACUGUCUCUGUUAGAUUUAUUUUUGAAUUUAACUUUUAAGUAAAAAGGCUUAAAUGUUUCUUAAAGACGAGAAGACCCUAUAGAGUUUAAUAUUGGUACUAGUUAAGGUUUUUUGGAAUUCUUUUCUUUAAUUAGCAAAUAAUAUUUAGUUGGGGUGACUAGAAGAUUUAAUACACUCUUCUAAAGUAUUUAUAUUGAUUUGUAGAUUUAUAUUCUGAAUUUUUCAAGUUUAAAAUUAAUUACCUUAGGGAUAACAGCGUAAUUUCUCUUUAGAGCUCUUAUUGGAAGGGAAGUUUGCGACCUCGAUGUUGGAUUAAAAUUAAUAUUGGGUGCAGUAACUCAAUUAUUAGGUCUGUUCGACCUUUAAAAUUUUACAUGAUCUGAGUUUAAACCGGUGUGAGCCAGGUUGGUUUCUAUCUUUAGAUUAAGUUUACGUUUUAGUACGAAAGGACCGGGCGUUUAGUAAAUUACUUUUUUUUGAAUAUAAUU